AACGCACCUUGCACCCUUUGGUAUUCCGAAGGGUAUGCCCGUUUGAGUGUCAUUGUAAUCUCACACUUAAGUUUUUUCUUAAGAGGUGGACUUGGAGGUUGCUGCUUUCAUUAGUGGCUCCUCUUAAAAGCAUUAGUGAUGUGAGUCUCGCAUUGCAAACCAGUGUAAUAAGAUUUCGCUGGGUUGAAACGCUUGAUGAAUCGCUUCUAAUCGUCCAUUUACUUGGACUGUCGCUUGCGGCAAUUGACAACUUGACCUCAAAUCGGGUAGGACUACCCGCUGAACUUAA
rnacentral:misc_RNA from 1 species